CGGUCGAGCGACGGACGAGAAGCUUGCUUCUCUGAUGUUAGCGGCGGACGGGUGAGUAACACGUGGAUAACCUACCUAUAAGACUGGGAUAACUUCGGGAAACCGGAGCUAAUACCGGAUAAUAUUUUGAACCGCAUGGUUCAAAAGUGAAAGACGGUCUUGCUGUCACUUAUAGAUGGAUCCGCGCUGCAUUAGCUAGUUGGUAAGGUAACGGCUUACCAAGGCAACGAUGCAUAGCCGACCUGAGAGGGUGAUCGGCCACACUGGAACUGAGACACGGUCCAGACUCCUACGGGAGGCAGCAGUACCCAAUCUUCCGCAAUGGGCGAAAGCCUGACGGAGCAACGCCGCGUGAGUGAUGAAGGUCUUCGGAUCGUAAAACUCUGUUAUUAGGGAAGAACAUAUGUGUAAGUAACUGUGCACAUCUUGACGGUACCUAAUCAGAAAGCCACGGCUAACUACGUGCCAGCAGCCGCGGUAAUACGUAGGUGGCAAGCGUUAUCCGGAAUUAUUGGGCGUAAAGCGCGCGUAGGCGGUUUUUUAAGUCUGAUGUGAAAGCCCACGGCUCAACCGUGGAGGGUCAUUGGAAACUGGAAAACUUGAGUGCAGAAGAGGAAAGUGGAAUUCCAUGUGUAGCGGUGAAAUGCGCAGAGAUAUGGAGGAACACCAGUGGCGAAUGCGACUUUCUGGUCUGUAACUGACGCUGAUGUGCGAAAGCGUGGGGAUCAACAGGAUUAGAUACCCUGGCUAGUCCACGCCGUAAAACGAUGAUCGGAAUCGCCAUAGCAAA
rnacentral:rRNA from 1 species